CCGGCAUCGGAGAUGCAUUAAAGAUUUUAUCGGUGACGGAUGAGGAUGCGUACGAUUAGCUAGUUGGCGGGGUAACGGCCCACCAAGGCUACGAUCGUUAGGGGUUCUGAGAGGAAGGUCCCCCACACUGGAACUGAGACACGGUCCAGACUCCUACGGGAGGCAGCAGUGAGGAAUAUUGGUCAAUGGGCGAGAGCCUGAACCAGCCAAGUAGCGUGAAGGAUGACUGCCCUACGGGUUGUAAACUUCUUUUGUUUGGGAAUAAAAGACGCUACGUGUAGCGUUCUGCAUGUACCUUACGAAUAGGCAUCGGCUAAUUCCGUGCCAGCAGCCGCGGUAAUACGGAAGAUGCGAGCGUUAUCCGGAUUUAUUGGGUUUAAAGGGAGCGUAGGCGGGCUGUUAAGUCAGCGGUAAAAUGUCAAGGCCCAACCUUGUCCUGCCGUUGAAACUGGCGGUCUUGAAUGCACACAAGGGAGAUGGAAUUCGUCGUGUAGCGGUGAAAUGCUUAGAUAUGACGAAGAACUCCGAUUGCGAAGGCAGUCUCCUGGGGUGUAAUUGACGCUGAGGCUCGAAAGUGCGGGUAUCAAACAGGAUUAGAUACCCUGGUAGUCCGCACAGUAAACGAUGAAUGCUGGUUCUUGGCGAUAUACGGUCAGGAACUGAGGGAAACCAUUAAGCAUUCCACCUGGGGAGUACGCCGGCAACGGUGAAACUCAAAGGAAUUGACGGGGGCCCGCACAAGCGGAGGAACAUGUGGUUUAAUUCGAUGAUACGCGAGGAACCUUACCCGGGCUUGAAUUGCAGCUGCAUGGGGCAGAGAUGUCCCUUCCCUUCGGGGCUGCUGUGAAGGUGCUGCAUGGUUGUCGUCAGCUCGUGCCGUGAGGUGUCGGCUUAAGUGCCAUAACGAGCGCAACCCUUGCUGUCAGUUGCCAUCAGGUAAAGCUGGGCACUCUGGCGGGACUGCCACCGCAAGAUGUGAGGAAGGUGGGGAUGACGUCAAAUCAGCACGGCCCUUACGUCCGGGGCUACACACGUGUUACGAUGGGGAGUACAGAAAGCCGCUUCAUGGCGACAUGAGGC
rnacentral:rRNA from 1 species